rnacentral:rRNA from 1 species
UACGUAGGUGGCAAGCGUUGUCCGGAAUUAUUGGGCGUAAAGCGCGCGCAGGCGGUCCUUUAAGUCUGAUGUGAAAGCCCAGCGGCUCAACCGUGGAGGUCAUUGGAAACUGGGGGACUUGAGUGCAGAAGAGGAAAGCGGAAUUCCACGUGUAGCGGUGAAAUGCGUAGAGAUGUGGAGGAACACCAGUGGCGAAGGCGGCUUUCUGGUCUGUAACUGACGCUGAGGCGCGAAAGCGUGGGGAGCAAACAGG